UAAUCAUUUUCUACCUAUGCCAGAUGUUGCAGACUUUAUUGUAUUUGAGUAGCUACCCAAAAAUCCAGGAGGAGCAAAAGCACAAGGACAAAGUGAGAAACGUGCACAUGACCAAUAGCACCUCAUUAAAUGGUGGCUGUGCUGUGAAUCUCAACUCAAGAAAGGUAUCUCAAGAAUUAUAGUCUGAAGGGACAUUUUUUAAUGGUAGUAAAAGUGCCCCAUCUGAAUUUCCCCAAGCUAUUUGUCUUAAAUCUUUCAUCUCCCAUGCUCAGUGAGAGCAAUUAGACCAUUUUCCAUCUGCUGUCACAUCUUCAAGGAGUAAGUGCCCUGUCCAGUAUGCUAGCUAACAGAGCAUCUAUUAAACAUCUCCUUUGCUUUUGAAAUUUUCCUUAUAAAUGUCCAUUCAUAUUAAUCAUGCAACUUGCCAAGAAUGCCUUUUUCCUGCAUUCUCUGUCCUACACUCACUACUUUUCCCCUUUCUUUUCUCACAGUGACAACAAAGAUUCUCAUUUAGUGUUUGUUUCGCCUGUGAGUAGUAUGAAAGGAAAUAGCAAAGUAGCACCUACAGUAUAGGAUUUAUCUCUGUGAUAUAGGAAAAAAUCUUAAAUUACAAAACACACCCACUAAUGUAUGCUGCUUCAUACGUUGCUUUAAGAACCAAAAUAAUAAUUCCUCAUAUACAUUUUUGUACCUUUUCAUGGAUCCUUAAAAUUCUUGCUGAGGAUUUCAGGAGUAAACCAGGUGCAAAUUUUGUUACUUCUUUGUGUUAUGGUCUGAAGUUUAGCAAUGUUAAUAUGGGAAUGACAGUAUUUACAAAGUAUCAUAAUUGAGAUAUGUAUCUUAAGAUGUGGAAAAGUUUAACUUGUGGAAAUAUAAUUUCAUUUGCCUCUUAUUCUAAGGUCUUGGAAGAAGGCCUAAGAAGUGUGUACUCAAUAUUCUAUAUACUGAGAGAAUAUAAGCAAGUAUGCAAAACUAACUCUCCUUCACGAGAAAUUGAAGAGUGGACCGUGGGUAGUAGGUGAAAUGGGAGAAUAUCAGACAGCUCAUUAUAGAGACAAGAAUGCUGCAUUCUCAAAGUAGGAUGACAGAACAAGUCAUGCUACGUAUUGUAAUUUCAGUGCUACAAUACAUCUCCAAGCUGUCUGAGGAAAGAAGUGGUGAAGGAUGACUUUACUUCAUUUGCUCUCAACUAACUCAUCAUGGUCUACUCAUAUGACUAUACGUGAAAGAGAGAGAUGGGGGAGAAAGAGAGAUGGAUUCCUAUGGAGUAAUUCAGAAUAAGAAUCUCAACUGACUUGGCUCUCACCUUGAAGCAUAAUUUGUCAUCAAAGGAUAUUGUGACAGGAGACACUGCAGCUGUUUCAUUAAUAAGAUUUCUUAUGCCAUUCUCUGAUUAUGAAAAGGCUUUUUAUUGUUGAAAUCUUUGAUUUAUCUUUUUUUUUUUUUUUUUUUUUUUUUUUAAUGCAUGUAUGAAUCCGGCUUAUACAUCUUGUACAAUACAAAUACGACUUUUGGGAGAUAGCAUUUUCUUUAUUAAUUCAUAGUUUUCUGCUGAUUAUUGAAUUGUGAAGGACAUUAUCUCCUUCCUUAUUUAUCACUGUUUCUCUUCUGGUAAACCAUACUCUAUACAUGUUCGUAUCCUUCAAGUUUAUUGAUGUUUUUCCUGGUUUUCUUGUAUUUGCUUCCUUCUGUUUAAUCUAUUAUACUCAAUUAACAUCAGUUUUCAUUUAGGCUAAUCAUUAUUUGUUCUGUUUUGUUUCGUUUUUAAUAAUAUAUUAUAAUGGUAUUAGUGACAUUACUCUGAAGUCCCUAGUCCUGCAAAGGUUAGGUUGUGUUUUUCAGUUUGCACACUGUCAACAGUCCCACUGGAGUUUAAGAGUUAGACACAUGGACAUAAAGCUUUGUGCACUAACUGCCUUUAGUUGAGCUCAUUUUUGGUACCAGAGAGCCCUAUUUUAAAGACUCCUGUUCAGAUCUGAAAAUGCAUUUGUCAUUGGAAACAGUUUUAAAAAUAUGACCUUAGCUGGGAACUUGGCAAAUAGAAAUUUAAUAUGGAGUAAAUUAAGCAUAUAUAUUUGAGGAUACGUCUUGACCAGCAUUAUUUUAUGACUAUCCGACAGUCUUUUAUACUUCUGAAACAUAGAAAUAGCUUUAUUUUUGUAUUAAUAUUUUUGUAGUCACAGUUCAUAGCACAAAGCAUGAAACAGUAAAAUCAAGGCAUGUGUUGAUUUUCCUCUUCUACUCACAGGAAAGCAGCUAGAGAAACAGGCAGUAAUUAGUUUUUAUCCAAACAGAGUAUGAAAUUUUGGUGUGUAGACUCAUUGUGUCUGUGUCACCCUGAAGAUUAAAGGCUUCUUAACUACAUAGUGACACAACAGACUGAGCAAGCUGUGAAGGAGCUGGUGUGGUUUGUUGUGUAAUCACUGAUCUGUGGAUCACUAGAACAGUCUGGAUUUCUGUGUCCAGUCUUGAUCAAUAGAAGCUAACCUCCUUGUAUCUGUUACAGUGGAUCACCAUAUAUCCUUAAGUUCACAGUGUAGCUGACGCAAUUUCUGUGGUGCUGGAAACGUUCAUUAGACACAUAGAAUACAAUAAAGUUAAUGCUUAAUCUUCUUUGCUUGGGCAACAUGUCACAGCUUAUUAAUUAAUUUGGUUGUUGUUUGUACAUUUUUUUCUACCACUAUGGAUACAAUCAAUGGAUUUCAGGUGUUCUACAGUCAGGAAGAAAGCUGUGCAUAAUGUAGUCUAAAGGUACAAUGGGAUUCUCCUUCCAGUUUUGCUAUUGGCACAAAAAGGAAAAUAUUCUAAUGAGUUUAUAAAUAGAGAGUGUAUGCACAGUGAACUUAUUCUUUUCCACUGGAGGAAUCCUAAACAUAGCCAAGAAAAUGUGAUAUGACCUCAGAUAAUAAUUUCACCUUUUCAGCUUGGGAUAGUUAAAAAUUUCCUCAGCUGCAGCAAACUGACAUCUUGGCUUUCCAUCACCUAGUAUCCAGGAUGACAGUCUUCAAUUACCCUUUAAAUUAUCCAUUCACUGUUACAGUUGCCUUCUGUUACUUUUUCCUUCUGGCAAACCUACAAUUUGCAUCUGAUUUAAAAUUAUUAAUUUUCGUUUCUAACCAAUCUGUGAGUUUCACUAGUUUUCGGGAGAUGAGUGGCUGGAGAGCAGCUCAGCAGAAAGGAACUUGGGGUGCGGAUUGACAAUAGGCUGAAUAUGAACUAGUACUGCACUGUGGUAUUCCCUAAACACAGCUUAGCCAGUUAGUCAAUAGGUGAUUCUCCCACUAUAUUUAGUGUAGUUGCAGCCUUGCCUUGAAUAUUGUGUGCAUGUCUGGGCUCUGAAAUAUAAGAAGAAUGUUAAGGUCAUUGAAGGCAUCCAGAGGAGGACUGGAAGGCACGUGCUAUGGGAAGAUGCUGAGAGCCUAAUCUAGUCUGGAGAAAAGACUGAGAGGUGAUCUCACUGUUCUCAGCAGCUCUCUCAGAAUGGGUAGCAAAGGAAAAUGCCAGGCUCUGCUACCUAGGAACUGAUGGCAGGAUGCUUAAGAACAGCUGCAGAUCUGAAGCAGAGAAGGAUCAGGCUGGAUAUUAGGAAAAAUUUCUUUACAGUGUGGGUAGUCAAAUUCCAGAACAGGUUUCCCAGCAAGGUGGAUGAUGCCCCAUACCUGCAGAAAUGGGAGGUGUUUGACCAGCACCCUCAUUAACGCAUGCUAACUUUUGGUUAGCCAUGAAGAUGUCAGGCAGCAGGACUGGAUGAUCUUUGUAGGUCUUUUCCAACUCAACUUUUCUAUUCUAUCUAUUAUAUAUAUAUAUGUAUAUAUAUAUAGAGAGAGAGAGAGAGAGAGAGAGAGAGUAUAUAUAUACAGAGAGAGAGAGAGAGAGAGAGAGAGAGUUUGUUUAAAUAAAAUGAAAUCAGUUCAAAUUUAGUUCAGAUGGCAUUUAAAUGAGUUAGAUGGUGCACACAUCACUGAAGUUAUCUAGAUGGUUGGCUAUCUGGAGAUCUCAAAAUUCCUUCAGACUGGACAAAGGAAGUCAGCAUUGCACAAAUACCAUCAAUGCAAGUAUCAGAAAUGGGAGCUCGAUGGUUAAGCAGGCUUUGAAAAUUAUUUUGAGGAGUGAUUUGAGAGUGUUGACGGUUUAUGGGCUGAUCCGGCCCGGUUCUGUGACUAGUUGGAUGGAGGGAUUUUUUUUGCAAAGUCCGUGCCUCUGGAAAAGGGAAACAGGAGACCCCCCCCACAAAAAAAAGAAUAAUUUAAAAAUAGCGGCAACAAUCUGAGGAGAAACAAACUGAUUUACUAAAUAUAGUAUCGGAAUGCACAAUAACACAUUAUAAUAAAAUAUAAUUCAAUAUAAUUGUUAAUAAAAUCAAAUAUAAUCGAGAGAAGGAUUGUCCAAGAGCUAAAGGCCUUACACUAAUACUGAAGCCUUGCGUGCAGUCAGGAGCAGCAGUGAGAUGAUCCGAAGAUGAGCAUGACGAGACAAGAAGAAGAUGAAGAAGCCCCAGGUCAGGUGACCUACAGGCCUUAUAUCUGUUCCCCUGAGCAGGAAUGAUAACAGUACUCGAACAGUCUUCUGGGGAAUGUAGUUCUCUUCCGGACGAGUACCCAGAACUAGAGCAUUUGCUCUUUAACUCCCAGUACACUGCAUGAAGUUAUGAUGUGGAAUACCGAUAACCAAAAAUCAUAAAACCAUGACAGAGAGAUACUCUGAUGGUUGUCGUGAUAGCAGAUCUUUUGUUUAUAUGAGUCUGUAAAUCUAUUUGUUUGUAUCCCUUAAAUCAAAAAGAUAAUAAGACAUACAUUUGGCCUAAAACUUGAACAUAGGGAGUUCCAUGCAAACAUGCGGAAGAACUUCAUUAAGGUAAGGGUGAUGAAGCACUGGAAUGCUUCAGAGAGGUUGUGGAGUCUUCUGUGAAGACGGACAACAGUUGUCUGGAUGCCUACCUGUGCAAUCUAUUGUAGGG
ensembl:lncRNA